GGGUGACGAGUGGCGGACGGGUGAGUAAUGUCUGGGAAACUGCCUGAUGGAGGGGGAUAACUACUGGAAACGGUGGCUAAUACCGCAUAACGUCGCAAGACCAAAGAGGGGGACCUUCGGGCCUCUUGCCAUCAGAUGUGCCCAGAUGGGAUUAGCUUGUUGGUGAGGUAACGGCUCACCAAGGCGACGAUCCCUAGCUGGUCUGAGAGGAUGACCAGCCACACUGGAACUGAGACACGGUCCAGACUCCUACGGGAGGCAGCAGUGGGGAAUAUUGCACAAUGGGCGCAAGCCUGAUGCAGCCAUGCCGCGUGUAUGAAGAAGGCCUUCGGGUUGUAAAGUACUUUCAGCGGGGAGGAAGGUGUUGUGGUUAAUAACCGCAGCAAUUGACGUUACCCGCAGAAGAAGCACCGGCUAACUCCGUGCCAGCAGCCGCGGUAAUACGGAGGGUGCAAGCGUUAAUCGGAAUUACUGGGCGUAAAGCGCACGCAGGCGGUCUGUCAAGUCGGAUGUGAAAUCCCCGGGCUCAACCUGGGAACUGCAUUCGAAACUGGCAGGCUUGAGUCUUGUAGAGGGGGGUAGAAUUCCAGGUGUAGCGGUGAAAUGCGUAGAGAUCUGGAGGAAUACCGGUGGCGAAGGCGGCCCCCUGGACAAAGACUGACGCUCAGGUGCGAAAGCGUGGGGAGCAAACAGGAUUAGAUACCCUGGUAGUCCACGCCGUAAACGAUGUCUACUUGGAGGUUGUGCCCUUGAGGCGUGGCUUCCGGAGCUAACGCGUUAAGUAGACCGCCUGGGGAGUACGGCCGCAAGGUUAAAACUCAAAUGAAUUGACGGGGGCCCGCACAAGCGGUGGAGCAUGUGGUUUAAUUCGAUGCAACGCGAAGAACCUUACCUGGUCUUGACAUCCACGGAAGUUUUCAGAGAUGGAUUGUGCCUUCGGGAACCGUGAGACAGGUGCUGCAUGGCUGUCGUCAGCUCGUGUUGUGAAAUGUUGGGUUAAGUCCCGCAACGAGCGCAACCCUUAUCCUUUGUUGCCAGCGGUCCGGCCGGGAACUCAAAGGAGACUGCCAGUGAUAAACUGGAGGAAGGUGGGGAUGACGUCAAGUCAUCAUGGCCCUUACGACCAGGGCUACACACGUGCUACAAUGGCGCAUACAAAGAGAAGCGACCUCGCGAGAGCAAGCGGACCUCAUAAAGUGCGUCGUAGUCCGGAUUGGAGUCUGCAACUCGACUCCAUGAAGUCGGAAUCGCUAGUAAUCGUGGAUCAGAAUGCCACGGUGAAUACGUUCCCGGGCCUUGUACACACCGCCCGUCACACCAUGGGAGUGGGUUGCAAAAGAAGUAGGUAGCUUAACCUUCGGGAGGGCGCUUACCACUUUGUGAUUCAUGACUGGGGUGAAGUCGUAACAAGGUAACCGUAGGGGAACCUGCGGUUGGAUCACCUCCUUACCUUAAAGAAGC
rnacentral:rRNA from 1 species